rnacentral:lncRNA from 1 species
CCAACCUUGCCAAAGCCUGAGAUCCCAACUGUGCCGAAGCCUGAGCUUCCAACCAUACCAAAGCCUGAAAUACCAGCUGCUCCAAAGCCUCAGGUUCCUAUUAUGCCAAAACCUGAAGUACCAACUGUGCCAAAACCUGAGCUACCAUCUAUCCCGAAGCCUGAGUUACCAACUUUACCAAAGCCUGAGGUCCCAGCUAUGCCCAAGCCUAAGCUACCAGUUGCCCCAAAACCUGAGCUUCCUGCUGUGCCGGAGCCUGAGAUCCCAUCAAUGCCAAAACACGAGCUUCCUCCCCUGAAAAAGCCAGAAAUCCCAACAGUGCCAAAGACCAAAGUUCCUCAAGCUAUGAUAAAGCCUGAAGUUCCAGCUUUGCCAAAACCCGAGGUACCAAUUAUGCCAAAGCCAGAAAUCCCAGAACUACCAAAGCUAAAAAUCCCGGAGCUACCAAAGCCAAAAAUACCAGAGCUUCCAAAGCUAGAAGUCCCAACUAUGCCAAAGCCUGAAAUCCCAGAACUUCCUAAACCAGAAGAGAUACCUUUUCCUUCACUUUCUCCACCACACAAACCCGCUACUCCUUGAGUAAUUAUAAUACUGUUUGCUCUAUUAGAAGGUACCCAACUGUGUUUUGAGAUUUCCUUCUUUGUCUGUGAAGUUUGCUGCGUGGGCAUGGCAUGGAGAUAGUUUGGCACAACAUAUUGGAUACUUUCUGCUAGGAGUAGAAAUUAUGAUUCUUUUAUAGUAUUUCAAUUGCAUGUACCAUGUUUAUCGUGUUAUUAUACUAUAUGAUUGUUUUAUAUACUUUCUAUACGAUGUAAUAUAAAGCUAUGAUCUAUAUCACUUUCUAGAGUUACUUUGAUUUAGUUCCUAUCGUUGGCCAUAUCUGAUUUUGCUCAAUAGUUCCCCCCCNNNNNNNNNNNNNNNNNNNNNNNNNNNNNNNNNNNNNNNNNNNNNNNNNNNNNNNNNNNNNNNNNNNNNNNNNNNNNNNNNNNNNNNNNNNNNNNNNNNNNNNNNNNNNNNNNNNNNNNNNNNNNNNNNNNNNNNNNNNNNNNNNNNNNNNNNNNNNNNNNNNNNNNNNNNNNNNNNNNNNNNNNNNNNNNNNNNNNNNNNNNNNNNNNNNNNNNNNNNNNNNNNNNNNNNNNNNNNNNNNNNNNNNNNNNNNNNNNNNNNNNNNNNNNNNNNNNNNNNNNNNNNNNNNNNNNNNNNNNNNNNNNNNNNNNNNNNNNNNNNNNNNNNNNNNNNNNNNNNNNNNNNNNNNNNNNNNNNNNNNNNNNNNNNNNNNNNNNNNNNNNNNNNNNNNNNNNNNNNNNNNNNNNNNNNNNNNNNNNNNNNNNNNNNNNNNNNNNNNNNNNNNNNNNNNNNNNNNNNNNNNNNNNNNNCCCCCCCCUUCCCCCAACUCCCCUUCGUUUAUUUAAAACCUAUUACCACUUUUUUCCUUCACAAAGUGAUGGAAAGGAUGAAUUAACAUAUUUAAGCGCCGGUAGAAUAAUCUGAUCUCAAUUACAAGAACUAAAUUGAUUGUUCAAGCAUUUGUUGCUUUCUGUCUCAUUCAACCUAAGGCUUAUUGGAAACAUGUGACACAAUUUCGCCUGAGAGAGAGAUUGUGCUUGUGGACCGAUUGAUAGUUAUGAACAUAUAAAAUAGCUAAAAUUUCUCUAUCACAUUCCUUAAUUAAAAAAAUCUUUAACACUGUGACCAUCUCAUCUAACAUAUAAGUUUAAGUUUAUUCCCCCAACAUAUGGAAUUUUUCUUAAUCAUAGGUGGCAAUGAGUGUUGAAUCUAGGACCUCUAUCUCCUCUAAUCCAUGUUGAAUUGCAUGGCCAUUUCAUCUAAAAGCAUAAAAAGGCACAUUUUCACUUGAUCAAAUCUUCAGUAAUCGUGACUUUUUGAAUUAUCUUUUUUCCUUUUUCAUUUCUCCAGUACUAAACCAAUAUACAUAUUUCUAUUUCUAGUAAACAAUCAAUCUCUUUUUGCUGAACUUCCUAAACUUUCCCAUGGGUUAAAAGCAAAAGCUGAAGCGGAGCACACACUAGGGUAGCUACAAUUACUAUAUACAUUGUACAUUCGAGAAGCGCGCUCAUGGUUGUGGGAAGAAUUCUAGAUGGGAUAGUCUUGUCUCUCUAUUAAAAGUCAGGAAUUUCUUCUAACACCCUGUUCACUUAUUUGUCUCAAUUUACUUGUAAAAAAAAUCUCAUUAUUUCUUUGCUGAAGGCUGGAUGUGAUAUAACUGUCAAGCACGAGAUCCUUUUACCAAUUAAAACUGCUGUCUACUUUAUAUACAGCCGACUCAUUGUUAUUUUACCUGCUUCAAUAUCGAGCCCAAUGCUAUAUGCAAUGCAGCUAUUCACAACUAUUUGUGUUGCAUCCUCUAAUGGUCAUAUUUACCCCGUUAAAGCAUUACUCCCUUUAGCUCGAUAGAAAUUGUGAUGCAAUAACUUUCCGUUUGACAUUUGUAAUUUAUGUCAAUUUCUUCAGGUGAUACAGGGUUUACCUUCAUAUCAAAAUGAAGUUUUAAAACAGUAAUGUGAACCGAGGACUUUUCUCUUUCUAAAGAAAUAAAAAUUACUCAUAUUGUUUGAUGCACUUUCCUUUUUAGUCUGUUCCAAAAUAAAUGACAUAUUUCUAAAUUUGGAAAUAAUUCAACUUUAAACUCUUUAUUUUACUCUUUUUGCCUUAGUGAGAAGCUUUUAUAGCCACACAAAUGGUAUGACCCCUCAAACCUUUUACCCCUUAAUCUUUUAAGACCACAACUUUUAAAAGUCUUGUUCUUUUUAUUAAACUCCGUGCCGAGUCAAAUUAUCUCAAACAAUAUGAAACGAAGGGAGUAACCACUAAUUAAACCGGGAAUUGUUAUCAGGUUGCCAGCAUAUCAGAUGUUUGUGACAGGUUCAGAGUUUUAGUAUGUUAAUUAGGUAAUCCAAUAAAUUGACUUUUUAAGGUACCAGACCUGAAGCCAAGUGGAUGGGAAGUUCAACUAAUUAGGUCCUUACGUAACAAACAGAAUCUUGAGACUACUAUUUUGCAUGCAUAAAAUCUAUAUAUAGCAAUAGACUUAAAGCAAAUAACACAUCUCCAAGUUUCGUUGAUUCUAUACACAUUCUUCUUUAAGCUUCUAGGAUUUGCAGAAAAAUGGCUCAUCAUUACCAGCUAUCCUCCCUUUUACUGCUUGCAUUUCUCAACUUGUGCUUCAUCCAUGGCCCGAUAACUGGUGCAACUGCACGUCGUCAUCUGGAGACGCCCCUCCCCGAGAUUCCUAAACCAGAGUUCCCUAAAAUUCCAACUUUGCCAAAGCCUGAGAUCCCAGCUGUGCCGAAGCCUGAGCUUCCAACCAUACCAAAGCCUGAAAAACCAGUUGUUCCAAAGCCUGAGAUUCCUAUUAUGCCAAAACCUGAAGUACCAACUGUGCCAAAGCCCGAGCUACCAUCCAUCCCGAAGCCCGAGUUACCAACUUUUCCAAAGCAUGAGAUCCCAGCUGUGCCCAAGCCUAAGUUACCAGUUGCCCCAAAGCCUGAGUUCCCAACUGUGCCAAAGCCUGAGAUCCCAGCAAUGCCAAAACCCGAGUUUCCUCCCCUAAAAAAGCCAGAAAUCCCAACAAUGCCAAAGACCGAGGUUCCUCCAGCUAUAAAAAAGCCUGAAGUUCCAGCUUUGCCAAAGCCCGAGAUACCAAUUGUGCCAAAACCAGAAAUCCCAGAACUACCAAAGCCAAAAAUCCCGGAGCUACCAAAGCCAAAACUACCAGAGCUUCCAAAGCCCGAAGUCCCAGCUAUGCCAAAGCCUAAAAUCCCAGAACUGCCUAAACCAAAAGAGAUACCUUUUCCUUCACUUUCUCCACCUCACAAGCCCGCUACUCCUUGAGUAAUUACAAUGCACCCAAUCGUGUUUUGAGAUUUCCAUCUUUGUCUGUGAAGUUUGCUACGAGGGCAUGGCAUGGAGAUAGUUUGGCACAACAUAUUAAUACUUUCUGCAAGAAGUGGAAAUUAUGAUUCUUUUAUAGCAUUUAAUUGGAUGUACCAUGUUUCAUUGGAUGUAUCAUGUUUAUCGUGUCAUUAUAUCAUGAAUGUUUUAUGUACUUUCAAUACAGUGUUUAUCUAUGUCACUUUUUAGAGUUAUUUUUAUUUAGUUCCUAUCUUUGGCCAUAUCUGAUUUUACUCAAUUGCCUUUUUCCCCUACUCCCCUUCGUUUAAUUAAAACCUAUUACUACUUUCUUCCUUCACAAAGAGAUGGAAAGGAUGAAUUAACAUAUUUAAGCGCCGGUAGAAUAAUCUGAUCUCAAAUACAAGAACUGAACCAAAUAUUCAAGCAUUUGUUGCUUUCUGUCUCAUUCAUCCUAAUGCACACCGGAUUCAGUUACAAAUUUUGCAUGCUCUAAAAGAAACAUAAAAAACAAUGGGGAUACUUGCUUCUUCUUAAGGGGGAGAUUGUUCUUAUGGAGCAAUUUAUAGUUAUGGACAAAUGAACUAGCUAAAAUUUCUCUUAGCACAUUCCUUAUAAAAACAAUUCUCUAAAACAUUAUUGCGCGACCAUCUCAUCUAAAAUUCAAGUUUAUUUCCCUAACAAUAUGAAAACUUUUUAGUAAUAGGUCGUGGUAAGUCUUGAAUCUCGUACCUCUAUCUGCUUUAAUCCAUGUUAAAUUGUGUGACCAUGUCAUCUAAAAGAAAACUAACUGUUAGAAAGGGUACAUUUCCAUUUAGUUGAACAAAUCUUCAAUAAUCUUAACCUUUUGAAUUAUCUUUUUUCAUUUCUCCAGUACUAAACCAAUAUGGAGUACAUAUUUCUAUUUCUAGUAAACAAUCAGUCUCUUUCGGUGAACUUCCUAAACUUUCCGACGGAUUAAAGACAAAAGCUGAAGCGGAGCUCACACUUCAGGGUAGUUACAACGAGAAUAGAUAUUGUACCUUUGAGCGGUGCACUCAUGGUUGUGAGAAGAACUCUAGAGUGGAUAAUCUUGUCUCUAUUAAAAGUCGGGAACUGUGUAGCUGAAUCUCUUCUAAUACCUUGUUUAUGUUUUUGUCUGAAUUUACUUGUAUUAACAAUCUCAUUGUUUCUUUGAUGAAAGGCUGAAUGUGAUAUAACUGUCAAGCGCCAGAUCCGUUUACCAAUUGUAAAAGAACCUUCUGCUGUCUGCUUUCUGUACAGCUGCCUCAUUGUUAUUUUACCUGGCUCAAUAUCGAGAUCAAUGCUAUAUGCAAUGCAACUAUUCACGUGUCUGGAUUUGAUAUGCUAUUGUUUCAGCUAUUGUCUAUUUUCAUUUCCUGGAGAAUCGUACUCUAAACUUUCAAAAGUGUAUCAUUUGAACCGAAAGAAUAAUCGGAUUAUGCAAAGUCUACGCCAUUGUGGUAAGUUUUUGCUCUGUAAAACCAAGUUCUUUUCUCCCUGUGUUUUAAUCCGUUAGGCUUGAAGUCUCACUCUUUUGCCUUCCUUUGUACUUACAAUUCUAAUAUUAGCUAGUUUAGAAAAUAGAAUAACGGGUAAUAUGUGACUAAUGAGGUAAGUUUACGGUUCACUUCUGGUCGUCCAUUUCAUCAUGUUUGCAAUACCUUUUUGUUUGACAUUUGUAAUUCCUGUCAAUUUCCUCAGGUGGCCAUUACGUACAUACGACCAAAAUGAAGAUUUACAGUAAAUGCACCAAUGACUUUUCUUUUUCUAAAGAAAUAAGAACAGCUAAUUAAACCGGGAAUUGGUAUCAGGUUGACAGCAUAUCAUAUAUUGGUGACAGUUUCAGACUUUUAAUAUGUUAUUAGGUAAUCCACAUUGACUUUUUGAGGUACCAGAGAUUACGCCAAGUGGAUGAGAAGUUCAACUACUCAGGUCCUUACGUAACAAACAAAAUCUUGAAGCUACUGUUGCAUGCGUUUUAAAACCUAUAUAUAGCAAUAGACUUAAAGCCAGUAGCACACAUCCCAGUUUCAUUAAUUCUACACAUUUUCUCUAAGCUUCUAGGAUCUGCAGAAAAAUGGCUCACCAUUACCAGCUAUCCUCCCUCAUGCUACUUGCAUUUCUCAACUUGUGCUUCAUGCAUGGCCCCAUAACUGGUGCAACUGCACGGCGUCUACUAGAGACACCUCUACCUGAGAUUCCUAAACCAGAAUUACCAAAAGUUCCAACCUUGCCAAAGCCUGAGAUCCCAACUGUGCCGAAACCUGAGAUUCCAGCCAUUCCAAAGCCUGAGAUCCCAACUGUGCCGAAACCUGAGCUUCCAACCAUCCCAAAGCCUGAAAUACCAGUUGUCCCGAAGCCUGAGACUCCUAUUAUGCCAAAACCUGAAGUACCAAUUGUGCCAAAGCCCGAGCUACCAUCCAUCCCGAAGCCUGAGUUACCAACUUUACCAAAGCCUGAAGUACCAACUGCGCCAAACCCUGAGCUACCAACCAUCCAAAAACAUGAGUUACCAACUUUGCCAAAACCUGAAGUACCAACUGUGCCUAAGCCAGAGACUGUCCCGAAGCCUGAGAUUCCUAUUAUACCAAAACCUGAAGUACCAACUGUGCCAAAGCCCGAGCUACCAUCCAUCCCGAAGCCUGAGAUCCCAACUGUGCCGAAACCUGAGCUUCCAACCAUCCCAAAGCCUGAAAUACCAGUUGUCCCGAAGCCUGAGACUCCUAUUAUGCCAAAACCUGAAGUACCAAUUGUGCCAAAGCCCGAGCUACCAUCCAUCCCGAAGCCUGAGUUACCAACUUUACCAAAGCCUGAAGUACCAACUGCGCCAAACCCUGAGCUACCAACCAUCCAAAAACAUGAGUUACCAACUUUGCCAAAACCUGAAGUACCAACUGUGCCUAAGCCAGAGAUACCAGCUGCCCCAAAGCCUCCAACUUUGCCAAAGCAUGUGAUCCCAGCUGUGCCAAAACCCGAGCUUCCUGCUAUGCCAAAGCCUGAGAUUCCAACAAUGCCAAAACCCGAGUUUCCUCUCUUGAAAAAGUCAGAAAUCCCAGCAGUGACAAACACGAAGGUUCCUCCAACAAUAAAAAAGCCUGAAGUUCCAGCUUUGCCAAAGCUAGAAAUCCCAGAGCUACCAAAGCCAAAACUCCCAGAGCUUCCAAAGCCUAAAAUCCCCGAACUGCCUAAACCAGAAGUUCCAGCUAUGCCAAAGCCUAAAAUCCCCGAACUGCCUAAACUAACUUUUCCUUCACUUUCUCCCCCAUACAAACCCUCUACUCCUUGAGUAAUUACGUUCACUCUAUUAGAAAGUACCCAAACUGAUGCUUUGAGAUUGCUAUCUCAGUCUAUGAAGUUUGCUGCAUGGGCCGUGACAUGGAGAAAUUUUGGAAGAUCAUACUGGAUACUUUCUGCUAGGUGUAGAAUAUAAAUUCAUUUGUCGUAUUUGAUGUGCCAUGUUUCGCCGGUCAUUAUAUUGUAUACGAGUGUUUUAUGUUCUUUUUAUAUAAAGAUAUGAUCUAUUUCACAGUUUGGACUUACUUCGAUUUAGUUCCUUUCGUUGGCCAUCUCUGAUUUCAAUCAUUGUUUGUCUGAUUUUUCCCACUUCUGUUUUUCUCUAUCCUAUUACUACUUUUUUCCAUUCUCAUUUGACAUUUUGAUGUAUUUAAGAACCAAACCCGGAGAUUUAGGAUGUGUUUUGGUAUAACGGAAAUUAAUUUUCAUAAAAAAUAUUUCCUUAGAAAAUAGAUAGUAAUUUUAUUUAUUUUUCUGUGUUAAGUACACAAAUUAAGAAAAAUAACGUCUCAAGAGUAUUCAUAAAUAAUUUAGAUACAAUAAAUAUGAAGCCAUAAACUUCCGAACCAACAAACUUCCGAACCUACAAAUUUCAUAAACUUUCGAAACUGCUAACUUUCGAACCCGUAAACUUUAUAAAUAUUUCUAAACCCGUAAAUUACUUUAAAUAUUUAACUAAAAUUAAUCUAAAGUAACAAAGAGAUCAAGAAAACAAGUUGGUGAAUUAUAGAGACGAAUUUAAUAUGAGUGAAUAUUCUAGAGCUAUGGGUUAGCUAACAAUUCCGUUGAGUUUUUAAUUUAAAUCGUCUAAUUAAUUUAUCUGAUUAAUUGGUUGACAGAGUUAAUAUUGCUCGUAGCCUUCUCCCGAAGUACAACUCGCCUAUUCAAGCUAACCUAAAGCCUAUAUUCCUAUGGAAUUAAAAUUAACAAGAACACAUUUAUAAUUCCUGUAUAGUAAUCAAGCAAACCGAUUAGGCAUAUUCAACCGAUUAGGUAUAUUCCUAUGGAAUUAGAAUUAACAAGAACGCAUUUAUAAUUCCUGUAUAGUAAUCAAGCAAGGCGAUUAGGUAUAUUCCUAUCCUAACCGCAAAUUCGCUCCCCCCUCCCCCAAGAGUUAAGAUUUUGCUCUACUCAAUCUUAUAUGCAAUCUAGAAUUCCUUCUCUCGAGUUCAAUCCUAGAUCUGUAGAUAGUAUUUAAUUGGUGAUCAAGCAAUCAAAUAAUUUAGCGCAAGAUUGAAUAAAUAAACCAAUAUGAUAAAAUAAUAGGAACAAUCUAAGCUUCAAACUACAACGUUCAUGUAGCAUCCAAAACUCUAGAACUAAUAAACUGUGAGAUUAAAUGAAGAGAAGAGAAGAAAAACUAGUUAGGAGCCUCCUCCAAAGCGUGGUGUGUUCCUCCACGUGAAUUCCCCUUCAAAAUAUGUUCCCUAGGUCUAAGAUCUGUCAUAUGUAUGUCCCACCUCUCUAAAAUAGCGUUUUACAUGUAUUUAUACCAAGUAGGGUCGGGUCCAGAGGGAACAUCUGUCAAAAGUAUGCCCUACCUCUCCAAAAUAAUUAUACCAAGUAGGGUCAGGCCCAGAUAAAAACACCUUCUCCCGCGCGAAAUAGGACUCUGGCUCUGUAAGUUUUGUACAGACGCGCCGCGCCAUGCAGCGCGCUAACGGAGUUUAUCGGCAAGCUGUACUUUUCUUGUCUUGCGACAUUUUACACUGCUGCGUCGUGCCUUGCGGCGUCCUAUGCGGCGCUACAGUUUAAUUUUCUCAGAGUGAACAUAUUUCGUCCUCUUUUAACAUCCAGACAUGGUACACCACCUCUGAACACGAUUCCGACUUGAUUCCUUGGGCUUUUACUCAGACUUUAAAGCUCUAAAUCACUUGAAUACAUUCCAUAACGCAUACAUAGAUCGAAAUCACUCCUACAAGGCAUAAAAUACAUAUUUAGUGCAACACACUAGCGAUUAAAGCUCAAACUCAAUUAAAGUACAGUAAAUUAGAGUGUAAUAAGCGUCUAAAAUACACAAUAAUAGCCCAUCAUCAACACCCUACACUUAAAUCAUUGCUCGUCCUCGAGCAAUCAAACAUUACUUUAUAUAGACACAAUCUUUUUUAAACAAUUCUCCUAAAUCAUCACACCAAGAAUAUUUAAAAUAGACUAAGCACAAGAGUGUAACAUAUUCACCUCAAGAUCUGACUCACAAGUAUCACGCAUUAUUCACAACUCACUCACUUACUCUAACAUAGAAGUCACGGAAACUGCCUUUCCUUCGUGAACCAGGUGCUCUCACACAACAAAAGUGAGUAGUUUCACACAAUAAAAUUUAAGAACACUUAGGAACACAAGAUAAAAAGAAUUCACUCACUCUCAGAAAUAACAUUCAUAUGCCACAGAAGAUGCAUCAUAGGCUUAACUGUAGUGUAUUACUCUACUAAUCGAGCUUAUUCAGUCUAGGAUCAAGUAUGACUUUAUUUGGUUGUAAUGUAGGCUGCAGGAUGGGUAGGAUACAUUUAGAUAUAAUAGUGACUAUACAUCCCUAAGCACUUCAAUACAUACACUUUAACAUUGAAAAGCCCACACUUAUGUCGAACCAUAACUCCACAUUCACACCAAUAUAUAUUAACUCUCCACUUCUUUAAGUACAAUUAUAUCAAGAGUCACCACCACCAUCUAGAAUUAUUUUUCGCAACAAUACAACUAAUUUUUUUUCUUUUCAAUUCACGUGGCUCUUACUUUUUCAAAACAAUGCACCUUUCUCCUUUUUCAUUAGUUCAAAUCAAAAGUCAAACCAACCACCCCCACUUUAACUUUUAUAAAGUUCAUAACAAUUCAAAUGCUCAUGAGAGGUGAAAAGGUUCAAAUAGAUGGUAGUUCAAAAAAAUAGGCAAGACGUGUAAUGUGGUUGCCAAAGAAACAGGAUUAUAGACUCAAAUAGGUUAACAAUGAUAAUAAAAAUUAGGCGGGUAUAUAUAUAUGGCUCAACAAAGAAACGCAUAUAUCACUUCCAAGACUGAACAAAACUACUAUUUCGCUUUGCAAACACAUGGGGCAAGUUCUAGACAUCAAAUGCAUUGCACAGAAUAACACAAAACCUUGCACACACAUAACACAUAAAUCACUCAGGAUUGGACACAUCAAGAUACUCUAGUCAAAGAAGUUAAGCAAAGUUAAGAUCAUACAAUUUAAGGUACUUAUAAAAGAGUUAAAAACUGAGCCUAAGCGUUACAACCAAAGUACUCACUAUUCUCAAGGCAUAACAAUUCAAGAGAUAUUGCUUCAAUUCAAUUCACAUCACCAUGGCUUCUCUCCUAAAAAAAAUAAAAAUACCUACAUCCGGUUCAAACAAAACCCUUGGAAACGAACCGCAACACAAAGAAAAACCAAUGGGAAAUUACUACACUACCUACAAAAAAAUCUUUUUGUCAUUUUUCUUUAGACUUAAAUCCCUCAAGAAAACUGCCUAGGAGAUCCAUCGUCGGAAAAAAUUCAAUUUACUUUUUUACGUUUUUCUAAAUACAAAAAAAUUAUUUAAUUAAACUAACACAACUAAAAUAGCAUAGAAAGUCACUUAGACAUUCUCCUCGCCCCACACUUUAAAUUGUGCAAUGUUCUCAAUGCACACUAUAACUAAUAAGAGGGUAAAAGAGACUCCCUGAUAGGCCAAAGGCCGAAACAUUAGUAUCUCACGAGAUACUCAUACUUCUCCCAGGUAUGCUCCUUUGUGCGGGUACCUCACACUUUGUUUUAACCAAAUGCUCUCCUUUACACAUGCCUAUUGGCUAUGACUUCAUGCUCCUACUCCUACAAAAUACAAAAAUAAUAAUACAAAUAUAAUACAAUAAAAAAAUACAAAAGGAAAAAAAUAAAAUUGAGUUGCCUCCCAAGAAGCAUUUGAUUUAACGUCGCGGCACGACUCCAUCACUUUCAUCACUUUUCCUUCCACUUAGAAGAUAUGAAUUGUGCCCCCAAUUUGGCAUCAAUUUUUCUAUUAUGUUCAUGAGGCGGUGGUGUGAAAAUAAAGAAACCAAACAAAAUAUGUCGCAUCUUCCACUACUUGACCCUUAAGUGAGGAAUGUUGUUUUGUUUCCUUGGCAUCACAAACUUCAGAAUGUAAGGGUCUUGUUCUUCAUCUAUACAUCUCUCCAAGGGUUCGAUCUCCAUGUCUUCAUCCAAACAUAAUGUAGAAAAAUGUAUAAAAUGAGGACCAACACGCCCCAACUCUAAAACUGCAUUAUUUUUUACAUCCUCAGUAAUACAUACUCCCUCAACCUCGGCAUCAUCAACAAAAACAUGGUCUAGUGAUUGGUAUCCUCGUUUUAGCUCCUCAAUUUGGCUUAAAAGAAUUUUUUCAGCUUCACAAAACUCAUCAUUAAAUUGUUGGACAUUACAUGCAUCAACCUUUGCACUCAAUUGGGCUUCCAAGUCGCGAAUAAAUUUUGCCAAAGUGAUUGAUCUCUUGUCCCAGUUCAGCUCUUCCUUCUAUAAAGUGUUAUAUCUCAUUCGUAAUUUUCUCACGGAAACCUCCAUAUUCCUCUAAUAAUUUCAUGUGCACAUCAGGAAUGCGAACAUCAUGUUCAACAUCUUACAAUUCGUUACUCCUUUCAAACUCACAAGAAUUAUAAUUAGAAUCAACACAAGAAGGGACUGGAGUAGGAUAACAACACGUAGGACAAUUGUUCCAAUUUCCAUCACAAAUAGUACAAGAUGAAAAUGGUGCACACAACUCAGUAGUAGGAAUAUUUUUACAAUAUUGCCACAAGUGGAGUCCUUUACAAUAUGGACAAGGAUCACAAAAAUAAGAAUAUUUACUAUCCCACCACUUUUCGUUCAAAGAUGUCAUGUAAAAAGAAAUAUAACACUAACUCCACUAAACUAAAAUUAAAAACUGAAAUAGAUAAAAAAGUAAAAAAUUUAAUCUAGUAAAAUAGUUAAUUUCUAAGUCCCCGGCAACGGCACAAAAAAUUUAUUGCUCCCAAACGCACGCGCAAGUAUACGUGGUCGAGAAGUAAUAUAGAAUUGUAAGUCCAGAUAUCGUACCCACAUGGACUUGUGAUUAACUAUCAACUAAAUUAGACCAAAUAAUCCUAAUGUAUAAAUAUUUAACUAAAAUUAAUCUAAAGUAACAAAUAGAUCAAAGAAAAUAAGUUGACGAAUUAUAAAGGCGAAGUUAAUGCGAGUGAAUAUUCUAGAGCUAUGGGUUAGCUAACAAUCCCGUUGAGUUUUUCACUUAAAUCUUCUAACUAAUUUAUCUGGUUUAUUGGUUAACAGGGUUAAUAUUGCUCAUAGUCUUCUCCCGAAGUACAACUCAUCUAUUCAAGCUAACCUAACGCCUAUAUUCCUAUGGAAUUAUAAUUAACAAGAGCACAUUUGUAAUUCCUGUAUAGUAACCAAGCAAGGCGAUUAAGUAUAUUCUUAUCCUAACCGCAAAUCUGCCCCCUUAAGAGUUAAGAUCUUGCUCUACUCAAUCUUAUAUGCAAUCUAGAAUUCCCUCUCCCGAGUUCAAUCCCAGAUUCGUUGAUAGUAUUUAAUUGGUGAUCAAGCAAUCAAAUAAUUAAGCGCAAGAUUGAAUAAAUAAACCAAUAUGAUAAAAUAAUAAGAACAAUCUAAGCUACAAACUAUAACGUUCGUACAACACCCAAAACUUUAGAACUAAUAAACUAUGAGAUUAAAUUAAGAGAAGAGAAGAAAAACUAGUUAGGAGCCUCCUCCAAAGCGUGGUGUGUUCCUCCACGUGAAUUCCCCUUCAAAAUAUGUUCCCUAGGUCUAAGAUCUGUCAUAUGUAUGUCCCACCUCUCUAAAAUAGCGUUUUACAUGUAUUUAUACCAAGUAGGGUCGGGUCCAGAGGGAAACACCUUCUCCCGCCCGAAAUAUGACUCUGUAAAUUUUGUACAGAUGUGGCGCGCCAUGCGGCGCGCUAAUGGAGGUUAUUAGCAAGCUUGACUUUUCUUGUCAGGCAGCAUUUUACACUGCUGCGCUGCGCCUUGCAGCGUCCCAUGCAGUGCGGCAGUGUAAUUUUUUCAAAGUGAACUUAUUUCGUCCUCUUUGAACAUCCGGACUUGGUACACGAUCUCGACUUAAUUCCUUGGAUUUUUACUUAGACUUCAAAGCUCCAAAUCACUUGAAUACAUUCUAUAACACCUACAUAGAUCGAAAUCACUCUUACAAUGCAUAAAAUACAUAUUUAGUGCAAAAUACUAGUGAUUAAAGCUCAAACUCAAUUAAAAUAUAAUAAAUUAAAAUGUAAUAAGCAAUUAAAAUAAACAAUUAUAGCAUAUCAUCACAAGUCAUGAGGCGUUUUCUUUUGCCCGCCUCUGUUUUACUUUCACUAAAUUAGAAAAGCAACAAAUAUAGAAAGGACAUCAAUCACAUUGUGAUUGCAAAUUUAGAGUUAAUAAAAUAACGUGUAAGGUAUUUUUUUAACACAUUUUGCUUCCUGGAUGAUCAUAUUAAUUAGCUGUAGAUCCAACAAUUCUUUAGCUGCAUUGAAAAAUGCGACGCAGAGAUUAAUUUCUUUGCAAGGAAGUUGAAGCAACGGACCAAUACUGUUUUCUAACAAGUGGCAGCUAAUUAGAUGAGAUAAUGACAGGUUUUGACUAUUAUGGCAUAGUAGUAGAUAGUAUAUUGUUAUUUGUUAAUAAACAGAUUUUGAGCUGCCAGAAGAAAAAUUUCAAGAUAAUAUUGGCAGGCAAAUAGAUGAGAAGUUCAACUAACAUAUCCCUUUCCCAACAACCAAAAUAUUGAAGUCCUACUUUUGUUGCAUGAAUGUAAAACCUAUAUAUAGCAACAGCCUUAUAUCCAAUGCCACAUCCAAAUUUCACUGAUUCUAUACACACUCUUCUUUAAGCUGCUAGGAUUUGCAGAAAAAUGGCUCAUCAUUAUCAGCUAUCCUCCCUCUUACUGCUUGCAUUUCUCAAUUUAUGCUUCAUGAAUGGCCACAUAACAUGUGUUACUGCACGCCGCCUUCUGGAGGCGCCCCUCCCUGAUAUUCCUAAACCAGAAUUUCCAAAAGUUCCAACCUUGCCAAAGCCUGAGAUCCCAACUGUGCCGAAGCCUGAGAUUCCAGCCAUACCAAAGCCUGAAAUUCCUGUUAUGCCAAAGCCUGAAGUACCAACUGUGCCGAAGCCUGAGCUGCCAACUGUCCCAAAGCCUGAGUUACCAACUUUACCAAAACCCGAGAUCCCAACUGUGCCAAAGCCCAAGCUUCCAGCUAUGCCAAAGCCUGAGAUCCCAGCAAUGCCAAAACCUGAGUUGACAAACGCACCAAAGCCUGAAAUCCCAAUGGUUCCAAAGCCCGAGAUUCCUACUAUGCCAAAGCCUGAGCUACCAGCUACUCCAAAACCUGAGUUACCAAAUUUCCCGAAGCCUGAGAUUCCAACAGUGCCAAAGCCUGAGAUUCCAGCCGUGCCAAAGCCGGAGAUACCAAAGUUGUCAAAGCCCGAGCUUCCUCGCCUAGAAAAGCCAGAGGUUCCAGCACUGCCAAAGACUGAGCUUCCUCCAGCUAUGACAAAGCCUGAUGUGCCGACUGUGCCAAAGCUCGAGCAACCAGUGGUGCCAAAACCUGAGAUUCCCACUGUGCCAAAACCAGAAAUCCCGGAGCUACCAAAGCCAAAAAUCCCUGAGUUACCUAAGCUAGAAGUUCCAGCUAUCCCAAAACCAAAAACCCCAGAAUUGCCUAAACAAACAAUUCCAACCUCCCCAAGCCUACCAAAGGAGAUACCAUUUCCUUCACUUUCUCCACCAUAUAAACCCGCUACUCCUUGAGUAAUUAUGUAUGGUACUGGUCAUUCUAUUAGAAGGUACAUGAGGUUUUGAGAUGUGCCACCUCAGUCUGUGAAGUUUGCUGCAUGGGUCAUGACAUGGAGUUAAUUUGACAGAACAUAUAUACUGGAUACUUUCUGCUAUGAUUAUUUAAUAUAUAAUUCAUUUGUCGUAUUUGAUCUAAAAUGUAUCUUGUUCCACGAGUCAUUAUGACUCUAUGAGUCUUAUAUGUAACUUUUAUUCCAUGUAUUAAAACUAUGAUUUUUGUGAUUUUCCGGAGUUAUUACUUUGAUAUAUUUCUUAUUCGUAGCCAUAUCUGAUUUUCAUCCUAAUGCACAUUGGAUUCGG